GACGAACGCUGGCGGCGUGCUUAACACAUGCAAGUCGAACGGUGAAGCGCCUUCCUUUUUGGUGGGUGUGGAUGAGUGGCGAACGGGUGAGUAACACGUGAGUAACCUGCCCCCUUCUUCUGGAUAACCGCAUGAAAGUGUGGCUAAUACGGGAUAUUCUGGGUCUGUCGCAUGAUGGGUCUGGGAAAGAUAUUGUUUCGGUGGGGGAUGGGCUCGCGGCCUAUCAGCUUGUUGGUGGGGUGAUGGCCUACCAAGGCGGUGACGGGUAGCCGGCCUGAGAGGGUGGACGGUCACACUGGGACUGAGGCACGGCGCAGACUCCUACGGGAGGCAGCAGUGGGGAAUAUUGCACAAUGGGCGCAAGCCUGAUGCAGCGACGCCGCGUGAGGGAUGGAGGCCUUCGGGUUGUGAACCUCUUUCGCCAGUGAAGCAGGACUGCCUCGUUUGUGGGUGGGUUGACGGUAGCUGGAUAAGAAGCGCCGGCUAACUACGUG
rnacentral:rRNA from 1 species